UACGGAGGGGGCUAGCGUUAUUCGGAAUUACUGGGCGUAAAGCGCACGUAGGCGGCUUUGUAAGUCAGAGGUGAAAGCCUGGAGCUCAACUCCAGAACUGCCUUUGAGACUGCAUCGCUUGAAUCCAGGAGAGGUGAGUGGAAUUCCGAGUGUAGAGGUGAAAUUCGUAGAUAUUCGGAAGAACACCAGUGGCGAAGGCGGCUCACUGGACUGGUAUUGACGCUGAGGUGCGAAAGCGUGGGGAGCAACAGGG
rnacentral:rRNA from 1 species